rnacentral:rRNA from 1 species
GCGAGGCUGAUUCGAUAUCCGCGUCGUACCCAGCAGUCAAGUGUGAUAACGUAAGGGAAGAUAAUGACAUUACCUUACUAUUAGUGUUGUCCAAAUCUGGUGCCAGAAGACUCGGUAAGGCCAGAGACGCAAACGUUAGUCGUCUUAAUCAGGCGUAAAGGGUGUGUAGGCAGCUUUUAACUUUAUUCUUUUUCUAAAUCCUCAUUAAUCGAGGAAGAAAUAUAGACUAAUAUUAUUAUUAAAUAAAUAAUAAAAAUAUUAAAGAAGGGAAUGAACUAAUAAAAGCUAGAAUCAAAUAGAGGAUAUAUUAAAUAAUAUUUAGAGUAGGGGCGAUAUCCUUAAAUACUAAAUGGAAUAUUAAAGGCGAAAGCUUUUUAUCUACUAAUGAUUGACGCUGAAACACGAAGGUGAGUAUAGGAAAUAGGAUUAGAUACCCAGAUACCACUCACUGUCAACGAUGAAUGGUGGUUACUAGUAAAAAAAUAAAUUAGUAGCUAUGUUAACGCGAUAACCAUUCCGCCAUGUGAGUACAACUGCAAAGUUGAAAACAAAAAAAUUAGUCGGUCUCGAAGCAAACGAAGUGAAGCAUGUUAUUUAAUUCAAUAAAUCCGCGA